GUGGUUGUAGUUCAGUGGUAGAACCUUUUUCUAGCAUGUGUGAGGCACUGGGUUCCAUCCUCAGCACCACA
rnacentral:tRNA from 1 species